CCUACGGGGGACAGCAGUGGGGGCUAUUGCACAAUGGGGGGAACCCUGAUGCAGCGACGCCGCGUGUGGGAAGACGGUCCUCUGGAUUGUAAACCACUGUCCCCAGGGACGAAAAUGACGGUACCUGGGGAGGAAGCUCCGGCUAACUACGGGCCAGCAGCCGCGGUAAUACGUAGGGAGCGAGCGUUGUCCGGAAUUACUGGGGGUAAAGGGAGCGUAGGCGGGGAUGCAAGUUGGGGGUCAAAACUACCGGCUCAACUGGUAGUCGCACUCAAAACUGCAGCUCUUGAGUGAAGUAGAGGCAGGCGGAAUUCCUAGUGUAGCGGUGAAAUGCGUAGAUAUUAGGAGGAACACCAGUGGCGAAGGCGGCCUGCUGGGCUUUUACUGACGCUGAGGCUCGAAAGUGUGGGGAGCAAACAGGAUUAGAUACCCGUGUAGUC
rnacentral:rRNA from 1 species